rnacentral:rRNA from 1 species
AUGUCGGACCUUGGUGAGUUACAUCACUUUCUUGGCAUCAAUGUUACUCCCAACUCCUCCGGCUUGUUUCUUUGCCAGCAACAGUAUACACUUGAGAUUCUUGACCGUGCCGACAUGCUACAUUGCAAACCGGUGUCCACUCCCGUCGACACCUCUUCCAAACUAUCCAUCCAUGAUGGCAAACCACUUUCCAACCCCACCUACUACCGAAGCUUGGCCGGUGCACUCCAAUACCUUACUCUUACUCGACCAGAUAUCUCCUAUGCUGUCCAACAAGUUUGCUUCUUCAUGCAUGAGCCACGUGACAUACACAUGCAGUUGGUCAAACACAUCCUUUGGUAUCUACAAGGCACCUCCCACUAUGGCAUUCAGCUCUACAAGUCACCAUCUCAUGACCUCAUUGCUUACACCGACGCUGAUUGGGCCGGGUGUCCCGAUACUCGCAAGUCCACUUCUGGGUUCUGCGUUUUUCUUGGUCCUCAAAGCGUCAACCCACUGUCUCCAGAUCCAGUGCCGAAGCUGAGUACAGGGUGUCGCCAACUGUGUUGCAGAAUCUUGCUGGCUACGCCAACUCUUGCAUGA